AAGCAAGCAAACAUAAAGAACCCAGUAGGAGACAUAUACAAUAGAAAUCACGUACGAAAACAUAGCAGAGAUAAUCAUAUGAGCCUAGUCUAGAGGCACAUUAGAAUGAAAAGCAUAGAAGGAUCAUGCUUAAUCGAAAGAAAAGCAGAAGAUCAAGCACAUGCGUAGUAGUGAAGAAAAUAUACGAGAUGAACAUAGAAAAACACACAUAAAGAAAAGAGAAUAAAGAAUCAGAAAGUUUUCAGAAACCCUAGUUUUUAAAUCAAACGAUCUUAAAGAGAAAGUUGGGGAAAACCUUUGAGAUGUCGAAUAUAGCACAUAUAUAGCAUAGAUAUAAGACAACAAGUAGAGAAAAAACUUGAAUAGCUUUAGGUUAUGUCUGAACCCUUGAGAUCAGAAGGCUUGGAAGAAAGUCCAGUCUGGAGUCGGAGAUGGUCAUAGCUAGCCUCCUAAAGCUUGAAUACGUCAAAGCAAGGCCGGAGAAGCCAUAGAAUCACAGAUCUGUAGAGGAUCUGAACGGAUGCCAUUGAGAUCAGACCUCGAAAUCUCGAACACCCAUGGUUUGGGGUUGAAGGAAGGUGAGUACAGGCCGUCCAUGGCUUGAGAAGCCAUGGACUCCGGUGAAAUAAUGGUUGGAGUAAGGUAGGCGGCUGUUAGGGUUUUGAGUGCUUGAGAGCAUUUCGAGAGAGAAGAGAUUUCAG
rnacentral:lncRNA from 1 species